CUCGAUGAGAGUCGACUUGCACUCACACUUGUCCGCGUCCACAAAGUCGAGCUUCUCCUUCAUGAAGCUAAAGGGCAUGGCUGCAAGAUCAACGGCGUGUUAUGCUACUGCUUUGGCCUUAGGGUGGGCGGUGGCAACGAUGUGGGGAGCAAGCUUGGGGGCUUGGGUGUGCCAGUCCAUGACGCCGGCGCGGAACAGGCGCUGUGCGGCCACCGGCGACUCGAUCUCGACGGUCCAGCUGUUGGUGGAGGCCAUUGCUGCAGUGAUCUACUCUGAGUUUAUGACCGGCUGGUGCAAGUGACGAGCUGAAAGGUAUUGCAGUGCAGGAGCUCCUUGGUUGCCUGGACUGCGGAGAAGUGAGAAUAGGGCUCGAAAGCCGGAGUUAGUGAAACUUGGCCGUAUGGGUCUGGUAAGUGGAGACCGGCCGGCCGGUGACCGGUGAGGGCGCGAGGCGCCAAAGUGCGCAUCGAGUUUUUUUCCAUAAUGGAUAUGGCCCCCUCGGUCGGCUAUGCUUUUAUGAUUGUUCAUUGUUGGGCAUUGCUGGUCUGGAGGCACACGUUAAUCUAUAGAGAAAAGGGACGAAUAUGUUAUCAAAUCGGCAUCACCAUCACGUGGGUAAAUGAGAAGAGAAAAAUGAGGAGAAGAAUGGAUGUCUUAAUAAAAGAAACACCCAAUAUUUGUUGUCGGUGUGGUUUGAAAGAAGAAACCAGACUGAACUACUGAAUUGAUUCGAAA